GACGAACGCUGGCGGCGUGCUUAACACAUGCGAGUCGAACGCUGAAGCUUGGUGCUUGCACUGGGUGGAUGAGUGGCGAACGGGUGAGUAAUACGUGAGUAACCUGCCCUUGACUCUGGGAUAAGCCUGGGAAACUGGGUCUAAUACUGGAUACGACAUGUCACCGCAUGGUGGCGUGUGGAAAGGGUUUUACUGGUUUUGGAUGGGCUCACGGCCUAUCAGCUUGUUGGUGGGGUAAUGGCUCACCAAGGCGACGACGGGUAGCCGGCCUGAGAGGGUGACCGGCCACACUGGGACUGAGACACGGCCCAGACUCCUACGGGAGGCAGCAGUGGGGAAUAUUGCACAAUGGGCGAAAGCCUGAUGCAGCGACGCCGCGUGAGGGAUGACGGCCUUCGGGUUGUAAACCUCUUUCAGCACGGAAGAAGCGAAAGUGACGGUACGUGCAGAAGAAGCGCCGGCUAACUACGUG
rnacentral:rRNA from 1 species